rnacentral:rRNA from 1 species
UACGUAGGGGGCAAGCGUUGUCCGGAUUUAUUGGGCGUAAAGAGCGUGUAGGCGGCUAGGUAGGUCCGUUGUGAAAACUCGAGGCUCAACCUCGAGACGUCGAUGGAAACCAUCUAGCUAGAGUCCGGAAGAGGAGAGUGGAAUUCCUGGUGUAGCGGUGAAAUGCGCAGUUAUCAGGAGGAACACCGAUGGCGAAGGCAGCACUCUGGGCCGGCACUGACGCUGAGGAGCGAAAGCUAGGGGAGCAAACAGG